AUGAGCCACGCCUCGUCAACCGGCGACGGGUGCAGCGCGGGAGAAGAGGCGGGGAGAUAUCGUUUUCUUCUCCCCGAUUCCUCGUCGCUGCUCAAGGAGCACGUUCGCUUGGCUGGGGAAUCACUACAGGCUGGUUUCAAAAUGAUUGGAACUCGCACCGGUUCCGUCCAAGGGGGGUGCCCUCCGAUGGAGGUUCUGUUGGUUGUGGUAUUGGAAGAAAAGUCACAAAUGGGAAAGCACAAGACAUGGAGAGGGAUUGAGUUUGGCCUUGAACUCCUCAAGAAGGGACUCAUACGGCGAGUGGGGAAUGGGAAGAGCAUACAAAUACAGAGGGAUCAAUGGAUACCGAGAAGCGAAGGUUUGAGAGCAGCCAACUUCACAUGCAGAUCAAGGAUAAGAUGGGUAAACCAACUCAUAGACCCCAUCACUAGGAGUUGGAACCAAGAACUCAUCCAUCGGAUCUUCAACCCGGUCGAUGCCACGGAGAUCCUCAAGAUCAAGAUACCGCAAUAA
rnacentral:rRNA from 1 species